AUUGAACGCUGGCGGCAGGCUUAACACAUGCAAGUCGCGCGAGCGGCGGACGGGUGAGUAAUGUCUGGGAACCUGCCUGAUGGCGGGGGAUAACUACUGGAAACGGUAGCUAAUACCGCAUACCAUCAGAUGUGCCCAGAUGGGAUUAGCUAGUAGGUGGGGUAAUGGCUCACCUAGGCGACGAUCCCUAGCUGGUCUGAGAGGAUGACCAGCAAAACGGGAACUGAGACACGGUCCAGAACACGACGGGAGGCAGCAGUGGGGAAGAUUGCACAAUGGGCGCAAGCCUGAUGCAGCCAUGCCGCGUGUUUGAAGAAGGCCUUCGGGUUGUAAAGCACUUUCAGCGAGGAGGCGUUACUCGCAGAAGAAGCACCGGCUAACUCCGUGCCAGCAGCCGCGGUAAUAC
rnacentral:rRNA from 1 species